rnacentral:rRNA from 1 species
GACGAACGCUGGCGGCGUGCUUAACACAUGCAAGUCGAACGGUGAAGGGGUCUGCUUUUGUGGGCCCUGGAUGAGUGGCGAACGGGUGAGUAACACGUGAGUAACCUGCCCCCUUCUUCUGGAUAACCGCAUGAAAGUGUGGCUAAUACGGGAUAUUCUGGGUCUGUCGCAUGAUGGGUCUGGGAAAGAUUGCGCCUUUGGGUGUUUUUGGUGGGGGAUGGGCUCGCGGCCUAUCAGCUUGUGGGUGGGGUGAUGGCCUACCAAGGCGGUGACGGGUAGCCGGCCGGAGAGGGGGGGGGGUCACACGGGGACUGAGACACGGCGCAGGCUCCUACGGGAGGCAGCAGUGGGGAAUAUUGCACAAGGGGCGCAAGCCUGAUGGAGCGACGCCGCGUGAGGGAUGGAGGCCUUCGGGUUGUAAGCCUCUUUCGCCAGUGAAGCAGGCCUGCUCCUUGUGGGUGGGUUGACGGUAGCUGGAUAAGAAGCGCCGGCUAACUACGUG